UGGGGAAUAUUGCGCAAUGGGGGCAACCCUGACGCAGCCAUGCCGCGUGAAUGAGGAAGGCCUUCGGGUUGUAAAGUUCUUUCGGUAUUGAGGAAGGUUGAUGUGUUAAUAGCACAUCAAAUUGACGUUAAAUACAGAAGAAGCACCGGCUAACUCCGUGCCAGCAGCCGCGGUAAUACGGAGGGUGCGAGCGUUAAUCGGAAUAACUGGGCGUAAAGGGCACGCAGGCGGUUAUUUAAGUGAGGUGUGAAAGCCCCGGGCUUAACCUGGGAAUUGCAUUUCAGACUGGGUAACUAGAGUACUUUAGGGAGGGGUAGAAUUCCACGUGUAGCGGUGAAAUGCGUAGAGAUGUGGAGGAAUACCGAAGGCGAAGGCAGCCCCUUGGGAAUGUACUGACGCUCAUGUGCGAAAGCGUGGGGAGCAAACAGGAUUAGAUACCCUGGUAGUCCACGCUGUAAACGCUGUCGAUUUGGGGGUUGGGGUUUAACUCUGGCGCCCGUAGCUAACGUGAUAAAUCGACCGCCUGGGGAGUACGGCCGCAAGGUUA
rnacentral:rRNA from 1 species